AGAGAGCAAAGAAGCGUACAUUAUUAUAGCCCAGUUAUACUUUUUAGGUUUUUCUCCAAUCUCUCUCUCUCUCUCUCUGCAUUCAGUUAGUGAAUUUAUCUUUGAAAUUUUUCGUAAAACGAUGGUCACCAAAUUUUAAAUUUAAAAAUAAAAAUAAAAAAUCAGACCGUUGGGAUCUCCAUCACCCAUCAGCGACCGAGGAAAUCGAUGACGACGAUCAAAAUGAUGAGGAAUUCGGUUGAAGCAGAGGAAUACGGGUAAGUUUUCAGGGAAAUUUUGGGGAAAAAGGAAAAAGAAAGCUUUUUUCUGCUUGUAACUUCUAGUGAAGUCAGAGAGAUCCAGAAGGAGACACAGUUCAAGGAGCAGGCUUAGGCUUAUGAGGUUCUGAGUGAUCCUGAGAAACGUGAAUCUAUGACCCAUAUGGUGAGGACGCACUUAAGGAAUGGGUGGUGGCGGUAGAGCCCAUGGCCCAUUUGACAUCUUCCAAUCUUUCUGCAGCGGCAGUGCUUUUGGAGGCUAGAAGCAGAGGAGGACCGAGGCAGAGGAGUGGGGAUGAUGUGGUGCACCCUCUAAAGUUUUCACUGGAAGACGUUUACUUUGGAACCUCAAAUAAGCUCUCACUUUCCUGGAAUGUGAUUUGCUCCUAGUGUGAUGGGAAUGCCUUCUUCCUGUUCCCAAGGAAAGUCCUUUGGAAAUCUGAUAUUAGAGAACCACAGACUAAGGAUGACGGCAUGGAUUUAAGCUCUUAUCACUUGGCCGAUGCCGAUAUAGUUCUCUGCAUGCAUUUUGGUUCAGAAGUUGGUGCUGUUCCUCUAAGUCGUGUUUUGAUGACAAUUUGUUUACCUGCUUCAGAAACAUAAUUAUAUACUUAAUAAAGUUCCUUUUUCCAAUACCAAGGAGUAGAGAAGAAUAUGGAUGUAUAGAAGAGCAUACAAGUGCAGCCUUUUGCCCCUUCCGUACAUGACAGCGUGACCAACAUUGGUGAUAAUGGUGAUGAUGGCUAAUUCCUAGUUGAAGAAUUAAAUUUAAGCAGUAGUCUAAUCUUGUAUUUAUUAUAGAUUUUUUGUGUUUAUGAUUGUGUAAAGAUGAACCAACAGUAAUAAGGAUGGAUGGAUGGAUGGUUAUGUUGGUUUGGGAGAGAAGAGAUUGCUCGCGUAUUGCCUGGGAGCCUCCUUUGUGUGGGUGUGUUGGUGUCUCUGCUUUCUUUUUCUCCCCUGCAUUCCCUUUCUUUGUUCGCUCUUCAAUUUAUUUUUCUCUUUCUUUCCUUCUUUACCUUUUUCCUAUCUAAUUUUUCCCUCUGGUUUUUACUUUUCUUCACUCGUUUUCUAUGAUUUCUCUCAGUAUUUCUUCCUCAACUAUCUCCAUUUAAUUCUUACUCUUUCCAAAUUCUCUCUACAUUUUGUUUCUCAACUUUUCUCUUUUUUAUUUCUCUUUAAUUAAUUUUUCCCCUUCACGUACUUUUCCCACUUUAUUUUCUCCAAUUUUACUUAACAGUCUCUCUUUUCCUUCUCUUCUUUUAUCUUUAUGCUUUCUCUUACUACUUUCCUCUUCACACUCUCUUUAUUUUUUUCUCUCAACUUUCUCUUUUCACAUGUGGACCAACAUUAUCGCGUUUUAGGGUAAAUUGUUUAUGUCAUGGUUAGUAAUGCCAAGUUUCCUAAAAUUUCAUUUGUCCUUGAAGAUAAUUAAUUAACAACUGUUUGAAUCGACUGUAUUUUUAUUGUAAUAAUAAAAUCAAAACCUAAAAAUAAAAAAGAAGAGAAACAAUAAAGAAAACUAUUAAAAUGAGUGACAAAUUAAUAUAAGAAAAACAAACUUAACUUUUUUAUUUUCUAAGAAAAUGGAAAAUUUCAUUUUUAUUACUAUAAAAAACUUAUUUUAGUAGUAUCAAUUGAAAAAGAAAUAAAAAACUGAAAGAAUCAAAAGAAAAUAGCAUAAAUAUUGAAAUGUUUCGUAAAGUACAAUAAUAUAAAAAAAAAUAGAAAAUCUAAAAUAGGAAUUAAAUUAAUAUAAAAUUUAAAAAAUAAACAAUCAAAUAGUAGUUUUUUGGAAAAGAAAAGUCCUAAUCGCUGGAAAAACUACUUUUCUUAUAACCAGCUAAAACAAAAAAAUAGAAACAUUUAAUUAAAAAAACACUAAAAAAUUAAUAAGCUGAAAGAAAAUAUAUUAAAUAAAUGAAAAUACAUUUAAAAUAUAUAGUCUAACACAAUAAAUGAAAAUAAAUAAACUUAAAAAAUACAAAAAAAAAACUUUUAAACGAAAAAAAUAACACAUGAAACUAGCUCUAGUAUAAAAAAAUAAUAAAAAUAAAAAUAAAAACAUUUUAUCGAAUUUUAUUAAUGCUGCUCAUGUUUUUACAUUAAUAAUUAACAGGCUAGAUUAAAAAAAAAAUUAAAAAACAUGUAAUAUCAACCAUAUUAUUCAAAUAAUUAAAUGUAAAAUUAUUUUUGUAUUUACCUUAGCAUUAAAUGUACAAGGAAAAGUUAACAGGAAAAAUAGUAGUCUUAGAACUGAUUUUAUUAUAUAAUUUUAUAAAAACAAUCAGCAAAUACAAUCUUAAAAAAAAUCAUGUAGUCAAGAGCAAAUGAAAUUUAUGGAAACUUGGCAUUACUAGCUUAUGGAACAAAUAUUAUCCCGUAAUAAUGAGAAAGAGAAGCUAGAGAGACUUGCUAGAGAAAGUGUGAAGAGAGAAAGUGCAUGUAGAAAGUGUUAUAGAUAAACUUAAGAGUAGAGAGAAAGGUAAAGAGAUGUAGUUAAAUUGUAGAACAAAAAAAGUAAUGAUGAGAAAAUGCAUGGAGAGAGAGUUUUGUAAAGAGAAUUCAUUAGAGAAAGUGGGGGAAGAAAAUGGAAAGAGAAAAUUAGAAAGGGUCUUGAAAUGGAGAAUUAGAGGGAGGAAAGAAAGAGGGAACGAAUGUUUAGAGAAGAAAAUGGAGAGAAGAUGGGAAAUAGCAGACAAACAAGAGAGAAAGUAGGGGGGGUAUUUUUUUUAUUUUUUUAUUUUAAACAUUUUCACGUUACUUUUUUAUUGAAUGUACUUUUUUCAAUUAGCAUGUAUUUUAUUUUCCAUCAAUGAAUUCAGAAGUUUAGAA